GUUUUAAUAGCUUAAAUAGUAAAAGUAUAAUACUGAAGAUAUUAAGAUAAUUUAAUUGUAAAUUUUAAAACA
rnacentral:tRNA from 1 species